rnacentral:sRNA from 1 species
GGUAUGUGUAUUCUAGAAAUUUCAAAUUUAAAUCUUUUAAUUUUGAAAUAAUAAUUCAUAAAUUGCAAUAGCAGAGUAUGAAGGUACUAGGUGAUUUAAAUGAAUUUUAAUUCUGCAACUAUCUAUUUCUACUUCCUACUUGGGAACAAAAGAAGAAAUUUUGAAAUAUGUUUCAUUUCAAUAUCUAUUGAUAAGAUGUAAAGAUUUUUUUUUUUAUUCAUUUUUUAGAUUUAUUUUUAUUUAUUCAGCAUGUUCAUAUAUUAUUAUGAUUUGAGUUGUCGGUUUUGAAAUGAAUAUGUAAUUUGUAAACAUUUACCUUCUUUAUAUGCUAUUGAGUAAUGAUCAAUAGAGACUUGCAAUGUAUGAAACAGGUUGUACUGACACUAAGUGUAGCUUCAAUUAUUAUUUUACAAAAUAGGCAUUUUGAUAUUUAAUGGAAAAAUAAUGAAUAUUUUUAUAUAUGCCACUGUACAUGAGGCAUAGAUGAUAGUUGU